AGGUGCUGCAUGGCUGUCGUCAGCUCGUGUCGUGAGAUGUUGGGUUAAGUCCCGUAACGAGCGCAACCCUUGUCCUUAGUUACCAGCACGUUAUGGUGGGCACUCUAAUGAGACUGCCGGUGACAAACCGGAGGAAGGUGGGGAGUGACGUCAAGUCAUCAUGGCCCUUACGGCCUGGGCUACACACGUGCUACAAUGGUCGGUACAAAGGGUUGCCAAGCCGCGAGGUGGAGCUAAUCCCAUAAAACCGAUCGUAGUCCGGAUCGCAGUCUGCAACUCGACUGCGUGAAGUCGGAAUCGCUAGUAAUCGUGAAUCAGAAUGUCACGGUGAAUACGUUCCCGGGCCUU
rnacentral:rRNA from 1 species